rnacentral:rRNA from 1 species
AUUGAACGCUGGCGGCAGGCCUAACACAUGCAAGUCGAGCGGCAGCGGGAAAGUAGCUUGCUACUUUUGCCGGCGAGCGGCGGACGGGUGAGUAAUGCCUGGGAAAUUGCCCAGUCGAGGGGGAUAACAGUUGGAAACGACUGCUAAUACCGCAUACGCCCUACGGGGGAAAGCAGGGGACCUUCGGGCCUUGCGCGAUUGGAUAUGCCCAGGUGGGAUUAGCUAGUUGGUGAGGUAAUGGCUCACCAAGGCGACGAUCCCUAGCUGGUCUGGGAGGAGGAUCAGCCACACGGGAACUGAGACACGGUCCAGACUCCUACGGGAGGCAGCAGUGGGGAAUAUUGCACAAUGGGGGAAACCCUGAUGCAGCCAUGCCGCGUGUGUGAAGAAGGCCUUCGGGUUGUAAAGCACUUUCAGCGAGGAGGAAAGGUUGAUGCCUAAUACGUAUCAACUGUGACGUUACUCGCAGAAGAAGCACCGGCUAACUCCGUGCCAGCCGCCGCGGUAACAC